UUGGUCCUACGGGACGCAGCAGUAGGGAAUCUUCGGCAAUGGGGGGAACCCUGACCGAGCAACGCCGCGUGAGUGAAGAAGGUUUUCGGAUCGUAAAGCUCUGUUGUAAGAGAAGAACGUUAGCGGGAGUGGAAAAUCCGCUAAGUGACGGUACCUUACCAGAAAGGGACGGCUAACUACGUGCCAGCAGCCGCGGUAAUACGUAGGUCCCGAGCGUUGUCCGGAUUUAUCGGGCGUAAAGCGAGCGCAGGCAGUUUGACAAGUCAGAAGUAAAAGGCUGUGGCUCAACCAUAGUACGCUUUUGA
rnacentral:rRNA from 1 species